rnacentral:other from 1 species
ACGGUUAUAAAUCAACAUAUUGAUUUAUAAGCAUGGAAAUUCCCUGAGUGAAACAACGAAUUGCUGUGUGUAGUCUUUGCCCAUCUCCCACGAUGGGCUUUUUUUUAA